rnacentral:lncRNA from 1 species
CUUUGUGCAAACCUGUCCCAUCUCAUGUGAGCUGGACUUGGUGACUAACUUCAGUCAAUAGAAUUAAACAGAAAUCACAUGCGUAAAAUAGAAACUAGGUCAUAAAAGUAGUAUGACAUCACCCGGAAUCUCUCUAUUGCUCUAGUUGUCAUGUCAAAAAACUACUUAGACAGACUAUGAAGAGAUACAUAGGGUGAGAAACGGAGGCCUUCAGCCAACAGCUGGGAGAAGCUGAGUCCCAUCAGCCAUUCAAAAGACUGCAGCCCCAGCCAAGAGUUUGAUGUAACCUCAGGAGAGACCCUGAGCCAGAACCACCUAGGAGAUGAUGAGCUCCUGGGCAAGACUGAG